rnacentral:tRNA from 1 species
AGAGGUGUAGCUCAAUGGUAGAGUGCUUGCCCGGCAUGUAUGAGGCCCUGGGUUCAAUCCCCAGUACCAUAA